CAGCAGCCGCGGUAAUACGUAGGGUGCGAGCGUUAAUCGGAAUUACUGGGCGUAAAGCGUGCGCAGGCGGUUGUGUAAGACAGGUGUGAAAUCCCCGGGCUUAACCUGGGAACUGCGCUUGUGACUGCACAGCUAGAGUAUGGCAGAGGGGGGUGGAAUUCCACGUGUAGCAGUGAAAUGCGUAGAGAUGUGGAGGAACACCGAUGGCGAAGGCAGCCCCCUGGGCCAAUACUGACGCUCAUGCACGAAAGCGUGGGGAGCAAACAGGAUUAGAUACCCGCGUAGUCCCUGUCUCUUAUAA
rnacentral:rRNA from 1 species